rnacentral:rRNA from 1 species
UACGGAGGGAGCUAGCGUUGUUCGGAAUUACUGGGCGUAAAGCGCACGUAGGCGGCUUUGUAAGUUAGAGGUGAAAGCCCGGGGCUCAACUCCGGAACUGCCUUUAAGACUGCAUCGCUUGAAUCCGGGAGAGGGAUGUGGAAUUCCAGGUGUAGCGGUGAAAUGCGUAGAUAUCUGGAGGAACAUCGGUGGCGAAGGCGGCAUCCUGGACCGGUAUUGACGCUGAGGCGCGAAAGCCAGGGGAGCAAACGGG